rnacentral:misc_RNA from 1 species
GGGGGAGAAAGCUAUGGUCUGGCAAAAUUCUUGGGCCUAUAGUACUAGAACGAUUGGUGUGAUGGUUAUGGUUCAUGGGGAUGACAAAGGAUUGGUGCUGCCUCCUAAAGUUGCUUCGGUUCAAGUUAUUAUAGUUCCGGUACCUUACAAAGAUGCAGACACUCAAGGAAUUUUUGAUGCUUGUUCUGCCACUUUGGAUACAUUGUCCGAAGCAGGCAUUCGUGCAGAGGUAGACUCUAGGGAUAAUUAUUCUCCUGGAUGGAAGUACUCU